rnacentral:lncRNA from 1 species
CUCUCUGGAGGGCCCAAUGGGGAUGCACACAUUGGCCUGCUGUGCCCAGGCUGACCCCUUCCCCAUGGUCAGCCAGCCUGAGGGUGGAGACACAAGCCCUGGGCUCUAUGGCUGCCCCCCACACCUAUCCCCAGGCCCUGCCCACUUGGAGAUGCUACGAAGGACACAGUCCCUGCCUUUUGGGGGCCCCAGCCAGAAUGGGCUGCUCCAGGGUGAUGUUCGAGAAGGCCUGCCAUUUGGCACUGAUGGGACAGGGAACAUCCGAACAGGACCCUGGAAAAAUGAAACUACAGUGUAGCCAGGUUGGGAACACAACUUCUUCGCCAGUGCCACCACGUGUCCCUGGAGGAGCUUCAGAGCAGGGAGUGGCCCUUUGCUAUGUGGACUGGAAGGGCCAUCAAAUGACCAAGUGGUUCUGAAAUGGUUCCCAGCCCUCAGCCAUGAUCUCUUUUGUUGUAUAAGAACCCAUGGGAAGAACACUGGGCCACAUACAACCGCCACUAGUCCCCAAGCUUACCUCCAUAAGCUAGUCACCUGCUUUCUGUUUAUAGCACCUUCCCUCGCUGCUGGGAGGGAAGCUGGGAGGACACCCCCCCCCCAAGACUCCAGCUGGUGUUCUUGCCUUUGGUAUAUAUAUGUUAGGUUUUGCUCUAGGGACCACCGCAGUGGCCCUCCAGAGCUCGCUCACACUGGGCAGUUUCCUGUCCCCUGCUGUCCUUGCGUUACCUCACACCUGCAUCUCCACUGGGGGAGCCAUCUGGCACCUCGGCCUACUCACCACCUGCACCUGUAAUGGGAAAUGGCCCUGGCCUGGUAGCCUGAGGUCAUUUCAAGUGCUAAGGAUGGGCCUGGUAUGGAGCCAUGGGGAGGGGAAACAACUCAUGGCUGUGGCCUUCAGGGAGCUGGCUACAGUCUCUCUGGGCCUGUGCUGUUGAAAGUUGGCCUCUAUCAGACUGGAUUCUGUCCCAUUGUGAGCAUGUAGUAGUCAGAUUCUCCGUCCCACAAGGAGGGGCUGAGUGGGGUGUGACGGUCAUCACGGAUGAAGGUUUCUUAUCAUGGAUGACGGUUUCUUUUCCUUUUUGCCAUUUUCAUGAUCAUUUUGGGUACAAAGCCCCACCUCAAAGAGUAUAUUUCAACAAUGAGCCUUUUGUACAAGCAAGUGUCUUGUCCCAGGGGAGAUCCUCACAGAGGUGAGAGCCCAGAGAUGCCAACCUGUGACUGUCCACCCUUCCUCUCCAGCUUUCUCUUCCCAGUUUGUAGUGCAUAUGCCUACAUAUGUAUACACACACACACACACACACACACACACACACACACACUGGCAUACAUAUAUGAACACACCUUUGUGUGUACAUACACUUGUGUGUACACACAUGCUUAUACAUAUUUACAGUUACACUAUGCACACCACAUACACGUGCAUCCACACGCUUGCCCACCACAUGUAUGCACGUGCACAUGCCUGCACACUACCACACAUGCACACAUACCACACUGUCCACACACAGACGCAUUGGUGUUCACACGCACCCACAAACAAUUAGUGUGUAUCACAGCCCUGAGUGCUGGGUUUCUCUGCAGAUGUGGGUGAGUCUGUGACUUGCUUCACAGAGCAUAGCCUUCCCGAUAACCGCCUCAGAGAACAGGGCAUAGGUAAGUUCCUAGAGCAUUGGAGGCGAGGCGGCAGCAUUCUGCAGCCUGUGGUGGGCAGUGCCAUCUAGAGGCAGACACACUCAGUAUCUGAGUAAGGAGGCUAGCAGGCAGAGCUGAUAUUCAUAAGCUCCUCUGUGAUAUCCCUUAAAGCAGCAUUCUGUACCCAUCCCUCAGGUGGGUAGCCAAGGACCACCAGGCUGUUUCAGCUCCUUUCACUAACGGACUUUUUUACCUGCUUGUGUAGCUGAUGUGUGCAGAACCCACCAUGCUGUGUACGUACUGUAGAUACAGACCAUCCAGAGGAAAAUACAGUGUUUUACAUUGUUUGUCCUUGGUCGGGCUGGUCAGUAGCAUUCAUGUGUGUGUUUCUCAGUCUUGACAAGGAAGACCAGUAUGGGAGAGGCUUGGCCCCCAUCCAGGCUGCUCCCCUGGGCCUAAUCCCUCAUCUUUUCUACCACGGUGCCUCUGGGAGAACAGAGACACCUCUUCAUUCAACCAAAGAAAUUCGGCAUUAAAUAUUGAACC